CAGCCCACGGUCGCAGGGGUUGUGGCUGUGGCCAGGCCCCCUGCAGUGAGGGGCCCGGUCACAGCUGUGACCCCUGCGACCAUGGU
rnacentral:miRNA from 1 species